rnacentral:rRNA from 1 species
AGUGAACGCUGGCGGUAGGCCUAACACAUGCAAGUCGAACGACAGCACAGUAAGAGCUUGCUCUUACGGGUGGCGAGUGGCGGACGGGUGAGGAAUACAUCGGAAUCUACUUUUUCGUGGGGAAUAACGUAGGGAAACUUACGCUAAUACCGCAUACGACCUACGGGUGAAAGCAGGGGAUCUUCGGACCUUGCGCGAUUGAAUGAGCCGAUGUCGGAUUAGCUAGUUGGCGGGGUAAAGGCCCACCAAGGCGACGAUCCGUAGCUGGUCUGAGAGGAUGAUCAGCCACACUGGAACUGAGACACGGUCCAGACUCCUACGGGAGGCAGCAGUGGGGAAUAUUGGACAAUGGGCGCAAGCCUGAUCCAGCCAUACCGCGUGGGUGAAGAAGGCCUUCGGGUUGUAAAGCCCUUUUGUUGGGAAAGAAAAGCAGCAGGUUAAUACCCCGCUGUUCUGACGGUACCCAAAGAAUAAGCACCGGCUAACUUCGUG